rnacentral:rRNA from 1 species
AUACGUAGGGUGCGAGCGUUGUCCGGAAUUAUUGGGCGUAAAGGGCUCGUAGGCGGUUUGUCGCGUCAUGAGUGAAAUCCGGGUGCUUAACGCCUGGCUGGCUUGUGAUACGGGCAGACUGGAGGUAUGUAGGGGAGAACGGAAUUCCUGGUGUAGCGGUGAAAUGCGCAGAUAUCAGGAGGAACACCGGUGGCGAAGGCGGUUCUCUGGGCAUUACCUGACGCUGAGGAGCGAAAGUGUGGGGAGCGAACAGGAUUAGAUACCCUGGUAGUCCACACUGUAAACGUUGGGCGCUAGGUGUGGGACCCUUUCCACGGGUUCUGUGCCGUAGCUAACGCAUUAAGCGCCCCGCCUGGGGAGUACGGCCGCAAGGCUAAA